CAUCCUCAAAGCUUGUACAAUACUAAAGAUACUAAGGACGCUACCCGAAGUUCACAGUAAAAAGGAAAACAAAAAUGUCGAUCUUCAAACAAAGAACCAAAAAGACAAAAGGCGCUGACGGACUACCCCUGUAUUUCAUCAUGGCCCCUAUACCAACAAGAAAAAGGGAUAAAAACGGAAGUACUCAUUGCAUCGCCUCUCUGAUUAGGUCGAAACUUCCCUGAGUUGUAAAAGGUUCGUCAGGGCCAGAGACUGACCUCCAAACCGUCAUAUCUUCGGUUCAUAGCCGCUCACGACGUGACCCGAGGGUGGCGAUGUUGAAACGAAGAGGGCGACUAAGAAUUGCGUGCUUCGCGCGUUCGCAGAUCCGCCGUUCUUCUACAGGGGCUCCGACGCGUCAACGGCAGAUGGUUGAGUCGACGAGGCUGAGCAAGACGACGAAAAGACCUAGCCGCCGUCGGAGGAGUAGGAGGGGUGGCGUCGUCCUGUACAGCUUCUAUUAGGAGGGGGAAGAAUAGCACAUCCAUAUUCGAUGGUGGGCAGGCUGGGGUUCUAACUACUUAGUCCUUUGAAUUCGGGCCGGUCGAAUGGUCUUGGGUAAGCUGGUUUAGGAGAGCCCAGGGGUUCCGUGGGAGAGGGAACCGUAUCUCCAGUGUUUGUGACUCCGACUCUUCGCACGUACGUCACUCCGUUGCCUUACUGAACUACCAGCCCCGCUACCCGCACGAUGAACAUGGACACUAGAUACGUCGAACAAUUUGUUCAAAUAUACGUUGGACAGUAAAGACAAAGAAACAGGAAGCUUACUGAACAAUUAUGCAUGAGGUGUGAACCAUAGAGGAAACAUAAUGACUUUGCGUGAAUCAAUUGAGUACAGAAAGAAGCGAUAGAUACAAGAAUUACACUAAGAUAGAAGAGAGAUCACCCCAAGUAUUACCAAAACUGUUCGUAUCCCCACGAAAGAUAACCUUGCGUCGCCUAUUAUUUGCAUUCAUGUCCUACCAGUCUACCCUGUAAUAUACAGCGGGGUUCCGGUUUCCCCCAGACCCGUAAUAAUUAUGCGCUCACUACUUAUGAACAGAAUACUAGUUUACCACCACCUUCUAGUACUGAGAACUCCUUGACGGUGGGACCGAGAGAUAGGAUUUUCGAUUUAUAAAGGGGAGGAGCUCAGGAUACAAGCGCGGCCGACGCCCACCCAGCGUUAAAACCGUAGUUGACCAAUUUCAGGCCGGCUAGAAAGCCAGGGAACAUUUUAAACAUCAAUCCUUACCAUUCAGAUGCGCCAAAACCGAACUAACCACCCAGCCCCUGAGGUGCGACCGACAACGAAAAGGCCAAGAUAAAAAUAUAACGCGACUAUGACUCCAAAGAUAGAAACUCGAGAGCCGAUCCCCAACCCAAGACCUAAAAGCAGCAAGAGAAAGAGGACUUCUCAACCUUCUAACCGUCGCGGAAUGACGAACGAAGGGGGACGAGAGCCUCCUUCUCCUACGGCACCACACCGGGGAGAGGAGAAGCCCCGCAAAAAGCUAAUUUAGACGAAUGAGGUUCGAAUAGGGACCCCCCGCGGGCCAGUUCAAAUUCGUACAGACCAGCCGAGCUUAAGGAGGAUUCUAGUUUUAUAAAGAGACCGUUCGACAAGCCUCAUUCGAAGGCCGCCGGCUAGUCUAAUUCUUUUCUUUGCCCGGCCCCAGGCUGUCCACACACGAAACACCCCGUGACCUCUUGUGGCCCGUAUAAAAGAAAGUGACGAGGAAUCGAUUUGAAUACACCUCAACGUAGUCUGAGACCAAUGUACAUUUAACCAGGGGAAGGAGGAAACUUCUGGACUCCGUAAUACAGUUAGAAGAAAAACCGGUAAGAUUUUCUCAGAAGAAUCAACCUACCCGACGCUAACCAAUCAGCAACACCUGAUGAUCCUUAUUCAAGAGCUAACUUGUAUAAAAAGGCCGAUUAGGACAGUUAACGAAUAAAUUUCGGUUACCAAAGAACGUCGUCACCUCUAAUAACUGAUUUCUUCCCCUGGAGGUCCGGAAGCUGCGGUACGAUAGGUUCUACUUUAGAUGCCGCAGACCCGAAGAAGCCGAAAGAAACUCCUGCCGAAGGACUUACGAGAAAACCACAGACCAAAUCCGACCGGACGUACGGUACAUUCCGGCGACCGGAACAUUACUAUGAAAUAGAAGACGCGCACUAUGAAACAACCCACAACAACAACCAGUAUAUGAGACGGACCACCGAAAUAGAUAUUUCAGCCCGAGAGCGG
rnacentral:rRNA from 1 species